CCAUCGAUAGCUCAGUUGGUAGAGCGGAGGACUGUAGAUCCUUAGGUCGCUGGUUCGAAUCCGGCUCGAUGGA
rnacentral:tRNA from 1 species